CAUUCAUUCAUCACUUUCAUCUUCCUUUUCCAUGGGCUUUCUCUUUCUCUAUUCUUCAUGAUAUGAAUAAAUAUACACAUAUGUAUAUAUCAGGUUUGUAACAAAAAGUACAGAAGAAUCUAUAAAGCUCAGGAGGGAUAGCGCCAUGGAAUGGUGAUGAUUUUUUUCAUCCUCUCUAUAGCGCUAUCUAUCCUGAGUUUCAUGGCUUUUUCAUGCUUGUGCUCCUCUGUCCUCUGUAACGAAACGAUUCAUAUGGUCACCAUCUGGAUGAAACAGUUAUUUGAUGACAUUAGUGACACCAACGUGACGAUGCCACAUACACAUUCUGAUAUUUGAUUUAUGCGGAACUCACAUAGAACCUAUAUGGUCCUAUAAAAAUAAAGAGUUAAAAUAUGUUUAUGACAUUUAUCACAUAACAUGUUGCUGAUCUUGGAUCCCCUUCUUCACAUUCCACAUUUCAGUUUCUACACUCUAUAUUUGUAUUUUUCUAAGGCACAAAAUAGAGUGUGCAAGAACAGGGUUUGUAUGAAAUGAUGGUUCUUUAAAAAGCUUUGUCCAAGAUGCAAUUUUUUGUAA